CGCCGUAGCGCCGCCGUUCAUCUCCCGCCGUCCAUCUCUAUCCCAGUGUCACAAACCACCGCUAUUGUUGUUGGUUAUGCUAUUAUUGAUUCCAAAACUCUGCAAUUUAUGUUGAUGUUGAGCUUGCAAAAAAAUUCUACUUUGUUAAUGCAAAAUCAGAUUUCAUUUAAUCAAAGUGUAGAUUCGUAGAAUAUCAUUUUCUCCCAUUUUUCAAUUUUGCGAUUCAACAAAUCUACAAUAGAGGUCACGCCGGAGACUU
rnacentral:lncRNA from 1 species